AGAGUUUGAUCCUGGCUCAGAACGAACGCUGGCGGCAGGCCUAACACAUGCAAGUCGAGCGGUCCCUUCGGGGAUAGCGGCAGACGGGUGAGUAACGCGUGGGAACCUAUCCAUCGGUACGGAAUAGCUCCGGGAAACUGGAAUUAAUACCGUAUGCGCCCUACGGGGGAAAGAUUUAUCGCCGAUGGCCGGGCCCGCGUUGGAUUAGCUAGUAGGUUGGGUAAUGGCUGACCUAGGCGACGAUCCAUAGCUGGUCUGAGAGGAUGAUCAGCCACACUGGGACUGAGACACGGCCCAGACUCCUACGGGAGGCAGCAGUGGGGAAUAUUGGACAAUGGGGGCAACCCUGAUCCAGCCAUGCCGCGUGAGUGAUGACGGCCGUAGGGUCGUAAAGCUCUAUCCCCACCGAAGAUAAUGACAUUUCNCAG
rnacentral:rRNA from 1 species